CUCAUCCAAAACUGCCCUCUGAUACUGCCCAUGGAGAUACACCAAAUAUGGCACACAAAGUCUGCACAACCUUUUCAGGGCAUCAUCACUUGGAGAUAUGUUUACUGCAAAGACAAUGCAAAGCAGAUCAUAGUCGGUGGUUCAUGGAAGAGAUCUCAAUAUCAGGUCAUUGGGUUAAGCCGUAGUAACCACAAGGAUCCUUCUGUUCUUCAGUCAGGGUUUCUAUGAUCCCAACUGAGUCCAAAAGACUUUUUCCAGUGGCACAAGGAGAAUCUGAAACAUGCCUAUAUAUCAUCUGUAUCCUUUUGUUAUUUCAAACUGAACUGCAGUAACAAUAGUUACACUCUUCAGUUUAUUUCUAGAUGUGACUCUAAGACAACCAGACCUUGGAUUUCACUUUAAUCUCUAUAGGUUUAAGAAAAUACAGCAUUAGUCUGCAUUAUUAGGAAGAUGAGAUACAUACGUAAUCAGUAGUUUCACUGUUAGUUCCCUCAAAGUUGCAUAACUUAUUUUCAAUGUUAAGAACUCAUUUAUAUUACUACUCAUUUAAGUUGCAACUUUUAUAGCCUACAAUUUGGCUAGUAACUAUUUAAUGUUUUCAAAUGAUUAAAUAUUUUACAUCAAGCUUUAAGCAAAUGCUCAGAUGCUUUGAGGCACCUAGGAGGUGACACCUGCAGUCUCUUAAUCUUUUUGCAGACCUAAGGAACUUUGCUCUUCUAAUGACUAGAUGAAAUAGUGCAAAGAAAGAGGUUUCUCUGUCUCCAGCAGCUGACCUGAAACACUUGCCUGCAUGAAAUGCAUUGAAGUACGGAAGUAUGAGUACAAAAAGAUGUGGAUACAGAAUUUUUGUAUGGGUGUAGCUAGUCUGUGAUUCUUUAUUAACAUGUGGCCAGGUCAUAAUCUUUUUUCUUUCCUAUUUUUUUCAUUCUUCUCUUGAGUAGUAGUAUUUUUUCCAGCAGCUGUUAGAGAUAGAAGAAACUCCUUACUUUUAUAUGACAAAUACAUUUGCAGCAAGGUUUAUGUGAGUAUGUGUAUUAAAUGAAAGCAUGACAAGAAGAGGAAAUACUAUAAUCAGCAUGAACAAGCUUAGAAAGUUUUGAUGUAGAAAAUGAAAAAAAGGCAAAUAUCCUUUUCACUAAAUACUUCUCCUCUUUAGGAAACUUCAACUUGUAUCUGAACAAUAUCUCCUAUGUAGUGCAAGUGUUUAUAUUAAAUAAAUAUAUUUUAAAAACACA
rnacentral:lncRNA from 1 species